rnacentral:rRNA from 1 species
UACAGAGGGUGCGAGCGUUGUUCGGAAUUACUGGGCGUAAAGCGCGCGCAGGCGGCUCUUUAAGUCUGAUGGUGAAAUGCCGGGGCUCAACCCCGUGCCCGCCAGGGAUACUGGAGAGCUGGAGACGAGUAGAGGCAAGCGGAAUUCCGGGUGUAGCGGUGGAAUGCGUAGAGAUCCGGAAGAACACCGGAGGCGAAGGCGGCUUGCUGGGCUCGGUCUGACGCUGAGGCGCGAAAGCGUGGGGAGCGAACAGG